CGAGCCUAUAAAAAUUGCCUUUAUUAUCUUUUCGUGCCUUCUAAUAUUAGUGAAAAAUUAAAUAUAACUCAUGGCUCAACGGUUGAGCAUCGGCAAUGCACACCGAAAGUUUGGGGAUCGAUCCCCGAAAGAGUUAAAUUACAUUCUGUGAAACUACUUCAAUACACCGGAUAAUCCAAUAUAUACAAAGAUUGAAUACAAAAUUAUUCUGCAGAAUUGAGAUGUCAUCGGCAAUAAUUCAAAGGCAAUCCGGGAACAAGAACUGCACAUCAGUGGCCAUCUCAGCAGUGUUUAGAGUCCAAUCCUUAAAAGAAAAAAGUGUAAAUGUCAAGAAUGUAUAGAGUGUGAACACAAAUAAAGUACGAAAAACAAAUUUU